rnacentral:lncRNA from 10 species
UUAACGGCCAGAUGUCUGACAGUUCUCCGACUUCUGGGCAUUCCACGUAGGACGCUUUCUCAUGAGUGUCUGAAACCGUCAGUUCACUGCCAGAAAUGGAGAUACAUGUUUCCUGAUAAACUGGCACUUGCCUUUUCAAAGCCACCAUUUCCUCUAUCCUCUGGGCUGUCACAAAUCCUCCUCUGCACCUCAGGAGUGCCCCUUGGAGCCACGUUCACCACUUCUCUGCCCCUGACCCAGGCUGGUUCCCAGGCCUUGGGGUCCUAGCGUGGACCUCCUGGAAGUAAUUAAUGCAGUUUUCCAGAUUAACUCGAAGUACCCCACGACUAAACGCUAAUGAAACUAGAGGAGGCACAGCUUCAGCUCCGUGCAGGAUGGAUGCACAAGAGCAGAAUCUCCAUGGGACGCCUUUCUGGAGCAUCAGUAUUACUGCAGGAUUUGGAAGAAACAAAUUCAAAUAAUUUCCAAAGUAAGACACUGGAAAUUUAAGAGGAAGCUGGAAACUCAUCUGCCUUUAAUACUUUUUUUUCUCCAAGAAAAAAAAAGAAACUCUAAGGAGAACCUAUUUUUCACUCUUCUAAGUAGUUAAAAUUAGAAAUCACAGCAAGUCAAUAGAAAGCUCUGCCUUGCCAGUCUCCUAAAUCACAAUAUGGCCUUGGUCAAAGCAACCUAUAUGUCAUCAUACAAACUACAGGCUACGAUGAGCACCUCAUUUUCUUUCUGGAAGGCUGACCUUAAAUGUCCUGCACAUUCCUAUAGUGCAUAUUUACCCUUUUCCUAUACUAAGUAAGCCCUAAAUCUUGGCAGUAACAGCCUGGGGAACUACCUGUCUUGCUACCACUCAAGACCAUGCUUCUGUCCACAAAUUCCCCCCAAUAAAUUACCCUUUACUGACA